GGGGAUUUAGCUUAAUGGUAGAGCACUUGCCUAGCAAGCACAAGGCCCUGGGUUCAGUCCCCA
rnacentral:tRNA from 1 species